rnacentral:lncRNA from 1 species
UAGCAUAAUCUGCUCUAAUGCCAUCCAUUUCCCUGUAAAUUCUAUGAUUUUGUCAUUUUUUAAUGCAGAGUAAUACUCCAUUGUGUAUAAAUGCCACACUUUUUUUAUCCAUUCGUCUAUUGAAGGGCAUCUAGGUUGGUUCCACAGUCUUGCUAUUGUGAACUGUGCUGCUAUGAACCUCGAUGUAGCAGUGUCCCUGUAGCAUGCUUAAAGAGCCUGUUUUUAAAAGGUGUUUUAUGUUUUUACUAUUGGAUUAAACAUCCUUUUACAUGUUGGUUUGGUAGUGGAGUCUCAGAGGCAUGACCCUGAAGAUCCAAUAAAUCUUGAGUUUUCAGUGUACACAUAGCUCAGAGACACUGGGUUCGAACAUCAGCACCACAUAAGUAAAUAAAAUUAAAUAAAUAAAGGUAUUGUGUCCAUCUACAAUUUAAAAAAUAUUCUUAAAAAAAAUUAAAUAGAGAACUAUCAAAAAGUGUAAAUAUAUAUGCCCUUUGAUCAGUUUCAAUAUGUAGUACCACCCAAUAAAUAUACUCAUAAAAGAAAGUAAAGCUAUUGAAUGACAUUCCUUACAUCAUUGCUUAUAAAGAGAAAAUUUAACCUACACAGACAUCAAUAGGGAUAAGUUAUGGUAUACCAUACAACAGAAUACCAUUAGCUAUAAUAAGUAGAUAUAGAAAGAUCCCCAAGCUAUCUUAGCUGAAAAAGAAAAGGUACAAAAUUACAUUAUGGUAUCAUAAGUGUUCUAAAAGAUAUGUGCACAUUUAUUCAGUAAACAAAAUGUUCGUUGACUGAUACUAUAUGGUAAGUAGUGUCCUGGGAUGAUAUGUCAAAAAUAAAUACAUAAAUAAAGAUAGAUACCAUUAACCCUGAGUACUGAAACACUUCAUUUUGUAGUCUUCAUGAACUUGAGUUUUCAGUGUACACAUUUUUUUAGUUUCUUUAAAUUUUUUUAGUUUCUUCCAUUUAUCAAAUUAUAAUUGUUUAUUGAUGAGCGUGGUGGUGCAUACGUAUAAUUCCAGAGACUUUGGAGGCUAUGGCAGGAGGAAUCACAAAUUUGAGACCAGUCUGGGAAAUUUAGCGAGACCCAAUAAAUAAAUAAAUAGCUGUGGGAGACCAACCUUACACGUGACUGAGUCACACUCCCAGGCUGGUUGCUAAGACACUCAGUUGCAGAAAUGUGGCAGAGCUUUCCCCACCCUUCUUGGGUCCAAGGGUCAGUGUCUCCUGCAUGGGUGUGUCUUGCUAAAGCCCCCUGGGUGAAACUAUGCUCACCUGUUCCUUUGUAAUAUAACCCCUUGCCCUGUUUAGGAUAGAAUCUUCCAUGGAAGUGCCUUGUGUGUGUCCCCUUCUCUUACUAUGCCCUUGGGUGUGGCCUACUCAGGUGUCAGUCAACCUGCUGACAGUGGACAUCAUGAAGAUAAACUCAGCCCCCUGAAAUUUGACCCCUUGCCUCAUUUGAAUAGCUUCUCCUCAAUAAAAGGGGUCAGCCCAUGCUCUCCUGCUCUCUCUCUUCCUGCGGACCCUUAAGGUCAGAGGAGCCGUCACAGUGACCCCAAAGAAAAAGGUAUUUGUGUCUCUUGUGUGGUUAUUUUUGCGCAGCCCAGUUAGCCCAGUUUAACUGGAGUGACCCCUGAGCCUUUUAGUCUCCAGAACAGAACCCAGCAAAUAGCUACCAACAUAACUCAGUGGUAGAGUGCCCCUGAGUUUAAUCCCCAGUACUGGAGUGGGGAAAAAAGAAAUAUAAAAAUUUAUUGAUCACCUCCUCCCCAGCCUGUGCCUGUGAGGAAGCCAAGGACAGAUAUGGCUUUGCCUUUACCAUGCUGUUGGGUUUUUGUUUGGUUUUCUACUGGGGAUUGAACAGAAGGGAGCUCUAUGGCUGAAGAACAUCC